GACGAACGCUGGCGGCGUGCCUAAUACAUGCAAGUAGAACGCUGAAGGAGGAGCUUGCUUCUCUGGAUGAGUUGCGAACGGGUGAGUAACGCGUAGGUAACCUGCCUGGUAGCGGGGGAUAACUAUUGGAAACGAUAGCUAAUACCGCAUAAGAGUAGAUGUUGCAUGACAUUUGCUUAAAAGGUGCAAUUGCAUCACUACCAGAUGGACCUGCGUUGUAUUAGCUAGUUGGUGGGGUAACGGCUCACCAAGGCGACUAUACAUAGCCGACCUGAGAGGGUGAUCGGCCACACUGGGACUGAGACACGGCCCAGACUCCUACGGGAGGCAGCAGUAGGGAAUCUUCGGCAAUGGACGGAAGUCUGACCGAGCAACGCCGCGUGAGUGAAGAAGGGUUUCGGAUCGUAAAGCUCUGUUGUAAGAGAAGAACGAGUGUGAGAGUGGAAAGUUCACACUGUGACGGUAUCUUACCAGAAAGGGACGGCUAACUACGUG
rnacentral:rRNA from 1 species